rnacentral:tRNA from 1 species
AUCUUAGAUGGCCGAGACAAGGCAUCGAGCUUUUAACUCGACUACAGUGUUUACUACUUCUAGAUA